rfam:Anolis carolinensis chromosome 3, whole genome shotgun sequence.
UGGCAUAAACCCGUAGAUCCGAUCUUGUGGUGAAGUAUAAUGCACAAGCUCGCUUCUAUGGGUCUGUGUCCC